rnacentral:rRNA from 1 species
UACGUAGGGUGCAAGCGUUGUCUGGAAUUAUUGGGCGUAAAGAGCUCGUAGGCGGCUUGUCGCGUCGGCUGUGAAAACCUGGGGUUCAACCCUGGGCCUACAGCUGAUACGGGUAAGCUAGAAUUCGGUAGGGGAGACUGGAAUUCUCGGUGUAGCAGUGAAAUGCGUAGAUAUCGAGAAGAACGCUCGCAGCGAAAGCGGAGCUCUGGGCAACUUCUGACGCUGAUGCACGAAGGCUAGGGGAGCAAACGGG